rnacentral:SRP_RNA from 1 species
ACCGGGCCUCGUGGCUGGAGCCUGUGAUUUCCCCCAGCUUCUGGGGAAGCUGAGGCUGGUGGAUCACUUGAGCUCGGGAGUUCUGGGCUGCAGGGGGCUUUGCCGGUCGGGUGUCUGCACUAAGAUCAGCAUCAAUAUGGUGAUCCCUGGGAAGCUUGGGGUCCCCAGGUUGUCUAAGGAGGGGUGAACCGGCCCAGGUUGGAAACGGAGCGGGUCAAAACUCCCGUGCCGGUCAGUAGUGGGAUCGCAGCUGUGAAUGGCCUUGGUGAAACACGGUCUCUUUUUAUUUCUAUAUACACACAGCACAAGAUUCU